GGAUUGCAGGCUGCAACUCGCCUGUAUGAAGUCGGAAUUGCUAGUAAUCGCGGAUCAGCAUGCCGCGGUGAAUACGUUCCCGGGCCUUGUACACACCGCCCGUCACACCAUGGGAGUCGGUAACACCCGAAGCCUGUAGUCUAACCGCAAGGGGGACGCAGUCGAAGGUGGGAUUGAUGACUGGGGUGAAGUCGUAACAAGGUAAC
rnacentral:rRNA from 1 species